rnacentral:rRNA from 1 species
CCUACGUGAGGCAGCAGUGGGGACUAUUGCACAAUGGGGGCAACCCUGAUGCAGCGACGCCGCGUGAGUGAAGAAGUAUUUCGGUAUGUAAAGCUCUAUCAGCAGGGAAGAAAAUGACGGUACCUGAUUAAGAAGCCCCGGCUAACUCCGUGCCAGCAGCCGCGGUAAUACGUAGGGGGCAAGCGUUAUCCGGAUUUACUGGGUGUAAAGGGAGCGUAGCCGGCAGCACGAGUCAGAGGUGAAAUGCCGGGGCUUAACCCCGGAACUGCUUUGGAUACUGGGCAGCGAGAGUGCAGGAGAGGUGAGUGGAAUUCCUAGUGUAGCGGUGAAAUGCGUAGAGAUGAGGAGGAACACCAGUGGCGAAGGCGGCUUACUGGACUGUAACUGACGUUGAGGCGCGAAAGCGUGGGGAGCAAACAGGAUUAGAUACCCGUGUAGUC